AUUGAACGCUGGCGGCAGGCCUAACACAUGCAAGUCGAACGAGCGGCGGACGGGUGAGUAAUGUAUGGGGAUCUGCCUGAUGGAGGGGGAUAACUACUGGAAACGGUAGCUAAUACCGCAUACCAUCAGAUGAACCCAUAUGGGAUUAGCUUGUAGGUGGGGUAACGGCUCACCUAGGCGACGAUCCCUAGCUGGUCUGAGAGGAUGAUCAGCCACACGGGGACUGAGACACGGGCCAGACUCCUACGGGAGGAAGCAGUGGGGAAUAGUGCACAAUGGGCGCAAGCCUGAUGCAGCCAUGACGCGUGUAUGAAGAAGGCCUUCGGGUUGUAAAGUACUUUCAGUCGGGAGGCGUUACCGGCAGAAGAAGCACCGGCUAACUCCGUGCCAGCAGCCGCGGUAAUAC
rnacentral:rRNA from 1 species